ACAACACAAAGAUGGAGAGGCAGGUGGUAAUUAGCACUGGGAAAUGCCAUAGGACAGGGUUGAUGCUAGGCUAACCAGCCUAUGGGUAUUCAAGUCAUUGCUUUUGCCCUUUUUAAAAUAUUGGCACAACACAAAUGCUGUUCCAUUCCCUUGGUGUUCCAAGAUGUAUUGAAAAUAAAACAACAUUGGUGAGCCAAAGAUGAUCUCAGCCAACUCUUUUAGGACUCUUGGGUUGGACUGAAAAAUAUAUAAACAUCCUCAUGUGAUAUGAAUACAUCAUCUGGCUUCUUUCCACAUACAGGUAAAUUGUUUGAUUCUUCCCUAGGAGAGUCUUCCCCAAGGAAUCCACUUACAUUUUGUGAGAUGCUACUUUGGACCAUCCACUCAAAUUAAAAGAAAGGAAUAGGACCAUUUUCUGACAAGAUCUUGGAAUCAUGGAAACUUCUAAAGACUAUUAUGUUGAGAAGUGCCAGGCACUGUGGGUCCAGGGAUUAGUCAGAAACUUUUGUAUCUUUAAAUGUUAUCUCUGUCUUUGUGACCUGAUAAUGUAUUCUAGCCCCCUGGGAGAGAGUUAUUGGACUUCCCCCAACAACUAAAAUCAGUGGGCGGGGGGGUAAUUAUUGCAAAUCCUGGAUCAGUUAAACAACUCCAGAGAAGUACCAGGCCCUGGGGAGAACUGCAUAGACUGGCUGAGGUCUUAGACAAAUCAUAGAAUCAGGGUUGGAAGGGACCUCAGGAGGUCAUCUAGCUCAAAGCAGGGCUAAUCCCCAAAGAAUGAUCAGCCUGAAUUGGUUGAAUGCCCCCCAUCUGGAUCCAAGAACUAACAUGAGGUUGUAACCAA